UCCUGGCGUUGCUAGUCUCAGCUGUGGCGGCCGGCGGCAACGGGCGGCCAUCGGAAGCCGGAGGAUCCCCGCAGGUGGCUCCUCCGAGAGCCCAACGCGGGAAGGCAGAACGGGUGGAACUGCUUCUCCCCCAGCCUCGCCACGGGGAGCCCCCGGUGUCAGGGGACAGCGCCGGCUGCUCCCCGGGAGCCAGCAGGGUCCUGAUGCGGGCGCCCCGCGGGGUGCGCGCCCUGGAGGAGUCCCUGGAGCGGUACCAGAGGCGCCUCCGAGAACGUGCCAGUGAAAGCAUCUCUCAACUGAAACAAGUCAUGGCAAGAGGUGAUGAUGGCACUGGAUUUGACCAGUCCUCUGUGGAUGAGGGCAGUGACAAUGCAGACAGGGCCAGUGAUGACUGUGGGAAUGCAGCCAGUCAGGAACUGCAGCACAGUCAAGCAGUUAACCAACUUAAAAUUUUGUUGCAAUACCAAGAAAGAAUGGAAAGUGAAGAGUCUCCCUCAAGAAGGAAGAAGUCAUUCCAUAAACCCCCAGAAGCUGUACCUGCAGACUUACCAGCCCUUUCCAAUCUUGUUCCUAUAAUUGAUGAUCAGUCACAGUACAUUAACCAUUUGGAAGCAGAAGUGAAGUUUUAUAAGGAGGAGUUGUGUGGGGUGAAAGAUCGAGAACAGGCAGUUUUACUUGAAAAUUUGGAGCUCCAUCAGAAGCUGAAAUUCUUAACUGCAGCAAAUACUCAGAACUCCUGGCCUGUAGGUGGUAAAGACUGUAGCACACACCAACCUGUCACCUCAUCAACGGCACAUAACAAAGAUCAGGCUUUUGCUACAGCAGCUUCUGGAGACAAAGCAAAAUGGCCUGUAGAACUGGAGAAUCUAAAACUUUUUUAUCAAGAAAAAGUCAAUAUCCUUGAUGCUCAAAUACAGUCUCUAAGAAAAGACCUUUCGGAAUCUCAGAAGACAUGCAAAGAUUUGGAAGGAAGGCUGAAACACCAGAAGUCGCUGUUUUCAGUCAGAAAUUGUAGCCAGGUUGGUGGUCUGUGCCUGAACUGUGCCCAGCACGAGGCCGUUCUUGCACAGACUCACUGUAACGUUCAUGUGCAGACCAUCGAGAGGCUGACAAGAGAAAGAGAUGACUUGAUGGAUGCACUUCUUUCAGUAAGACAAAGCAUGAAAGAGAUGCAGGAAAGAGAAUCUAAUGCUUGUAAGCAAGUCGAACAUGCUGUGCAAAUGGCAGAAGAGGCCAAUUUUGAAAAAACAAAGGCUCUCAUCCACUGUGAGCAACUGAAAAGUGAGAUGGAACGACAGAAGAAUCAUCUUGAAAAGGAGCUGGCUGCCCAGGCGAAUAAGAGGGCUGAUGAAAAAGAAGCACUGCGGCAAGAAAUGAAGAAGGAAAGGGAGGACUUGGCUGCAACGGUGACAGCUUUGUCUAAGGAUGUGGCUGUUUUGGAGGCUCAAGUAGAGAGAAUUUCAAGGGAAAAGAAUUCUCUGGUUAGCCGGUUAGAAGAAUCACAGUGCCAGCUUGCAUCUCAUGAAAUGGAGAUGAAUAAAGUGUGUGGAGAAAUGCGCUAUCAGUUGAAUCAAACCAAAAUGAAGAAGGAUGAGGCAGAAAAGGAGCUCAGAGAGUACAGAACAAAAACUAUAAGGGAGCUUGAAAUUAAGGACCAGAAAAUAGAAAAACUGGGAUUAGAGCUGAAUGGAAACAAAAAGCAGUUGGAACAAGCCCAGCAGGAUGUGACAGGAGCCAGAGAGGAGUGCCUAAAACUGACAGAACUGCUGAGUAAAUCUGAGCACCAACUGCACCUCACCAGAUUGGAGAAAGAGAGCAUUCAGCACAGCAUUAGCAAUGAAGCAAAGGCCCGAGCCCUUCAGGCCCAGCAAAGAGAGCAGGAGCUGACACAGAAGAUGCAGCAAAUGGAGGCCCAGCAUGAGAAAACUGUAGAAGAACUGGAUUCAUUGCUGACCUCCCAGAAUACAUUCAUAGCAAAAUUAAAGGAAGAAUAUUUUGUGUUGGCAAGAAAGUUGGAACAAAUGUCAGAAAAAUACAGGUAUUAUACAUCAUACCAAUGUAAUAUAUGCCCCUUAAGAAUUCAGUAUAAUAAAUGCCCCUUAAGAUUAUGUUUCUGACUAUUAAUUCAAAUUUCUUGGACAAUUCCAAUGUGAAAAUUGUAUAGUAUUUUCUUCCUGGUGUUCAUAUUCUUAAUAUAAAGAAUAGAAAAUUGUUUAAAAAGCUACAAUUUCAGUUUAUCUGAAGUUAUAUGAAAAAUGCUAAAAAUUCAAUGAUCUGUUGAUCAAAACUGUUCUCAUUUUAAUUAUUUACUUAAGCUCCUUUCACAGUACUACACUACACACUGAAUAUUGUCUAUAAAAUAAUUGUCAUCAAAAUUGCUUUUUACUGAUACCCUGAUUCUGCUGCUGCUGCUUGUUAUCAAUCAACAGCAGAUCUAAAAUCAAAGCCAUUAAAACCUGGGAAUAGUAAUAAUUUAUAGAAAUACAAAGCUAUGGAGGUAUCUAUUCAAAAGUUCUGUAAGACAGAACUAUCUUCUAAAGAAAAUGUGAAUUUUGUAGUUCUUCAACAGCAAAUAAUUUUGUGUGAAAAUAGCAAAUAAUAAAGUGUGAAAAUAGUAUAUUUUGAAACUUUUUUUUUGUUCAUAUUUAGAGUAGUAAACUGGACUUCAGUGGAGAGUUGGCGUUCUGUAGCUUCUGUAAAUUACAUGCAAAGUGAAUUUGCCAAUUAAGGCUAGUAUUCAGCUCAUGGCUGAUGGGAAGUAAGGGAAACACUCAGAAAAGAUAAAAUUCGUUUUCAAGAGGGGAUUCUUCUGCUGGGUGUAUUUAAUCAUCCUCUUGAGGUACUGUAAAAGAGGCAACACUCACUCAGGGAGAGAGCUGGUACCCCAGUACCCUCUUCCUAGGAAUGGUCAAAGGGGAAUGAUUUAAGUAGAUGACAGACAUAUACAUAUAUAUAUAUACAUGUGUGUGUGUAAUAAAUACAAUAAAUGAUGCUUCCCAUGGAUACUUCCUCCACUGCCCAUCUUACUUCCCCCUGAAUACGAAGUGUUGACUAGCUGUUAAGUGGCUGAAAUUGAGAGAUGAAUCCCAUCCAGAGUGUUUGGGGAGGAAAUAAGAAACUUGAGGGACUGUAAGCAAUCUUCCCAUUGUGAGGGUUACUUGAAAGAGAAGCAAACAGAAUUUUUCCUCUGAAAAAGCAGAGCUCUUCUGCUGAAGUAAUGCAAAAUCUAAAUGGAUUCAAAUCAUAUUAUUAUUCCAGCAAUAAAAAAGCACACAGACUUUGUUGCUAGAGCUCACAGUCACAGACUAGUAACUGUAAAGGAUGAAGGAAAGACAGAAAACAUACUGUGAAAACACAUUAUUCUCUGAAAAUAAAUACUAGAGAUUGCCAAGUGUUUCUCCACCUAGCAGCAUUAGCUGACUUUGUCAAGGACCUGAAAAUGGGAAAAGGAGCCCUCUUUCAUCUCCAGGAAGUGGUAUUUUUUACACAAGAAGCUGUAAGGAAGAAUGCAUGAAAGUGGUUCUGAGAAGUGGUCCUAAAAUAGCUUGAGCUUGCCUUCACUGGAGUAGGAGCUGCUGCAGUCAGUAACAGGGAGAGAGAAAUAGGUAGAGACAAAAAAUAGAAGGUAAAAAUGAGAACGGCAAGGUGGAAGUGGAGAUGGUGGAAAAUGACAGACUAAUAUAGAUGGCUUCACUAAGUGAUCAGGAGAUCAGAUGCAGAAAAUUAUUUUAGCCAAGUUCUGAAUGCAUGAUUGUCAUGUAUCUCUCAGUAGCACCUCUCUGAAUUGCAGUCUUCAGCUCGUUGUCACUGAAUGUAGCGUAAAACCGCAUUCUGGGACAGAAUACUGUAGUUUUGUUUUCUAGAAAAAAGCAAUAAUUUGGGAAAGAUUUUAUAACUUUUAUAACAUGCAUUAAUAAAAGCAGAUCACAAAGCAGCAGUGUGCCCUAUUUUCACAGAAAAUUUUUUCCAUUUUUUCCGUAUUUUUGACCUUACCAUAAACUGAAUUUUGGACUGCAUGUGUAUUUUCUUGCUGUACUUCUAGAGUCCUUGUGCCUUAAUUUCCAUGGGUUUAAGAAAUAACUAUAUGCUACCAAUACCAUUAUUUAAUUGGUGGAACACUCAAGCUCUUUCAAUAACAGAUGCAAUAGUAAGUUUAUUUAAAUUUUAUUUGGUUUGGUAAGAAGAACCCAUUUGUAAUAAGAGGCAUUUCAAAUUUAUCUGUGACAGCUACAUAUUUCUACAUUUUCAGUGGAAUGCAUCUGAAUGGCACAUAUAUUUUUAUAUUUAAUGCAGGUUUUCUUAGAAAUCUAAACUGAAGUUUUUGUGUUUAUAUGUAAGCUGGAACCAUUUUUUGAGCUAGUCCCUACACAGAAAGGCGUCAGAAAGACAAUGUCAGACGAAUUAUAAACCCCUCAAGCUGUGCAGAAAGAAGAUAGUGUCUGUGAAGGUUUUAGUAUGCAUAGGCAUGUUUAAAAAUAUAGUCCUUUGCUGAUUUCUUCUCUGUUUCUCUCUUGUUUUGUUCUUUUUUUUCCUCUGAUUGUCACUCUCUGAGUUUCUAGGUUGUAGAUUAAUGGUUAACACUACCCACUGUGUAUUUGUGAUUUGCGUUUUGUAAUUAAGGGGAACAAUGGGAGUCCAUUGGGUCUCGUUAUAUAUAAUGGUUGGUUUAAUUUGUUUCACUUCUAUCUUGUUAAUUGUAAAUUGAUCAUUAAGAUUUGAAUUCUAAUCUGUCACCAGGGUUGUGUGUAUUGAAGCUAGAGCAAUGAUCCUGGUUUUAAUCACUGAUGAUGAGAAACAAAUUUUAUAAUUUUGGUACAUAUUGCAGUUCAUAUAUUUUAACACUGUAUUUUAUGGUGUUAUAAAUAUUGUUAAAUGACUUUUAGUGUAGUUUUACUGUUUGGACUAUAAUGUAUAAAUUAUAUUACUGGUUUGGCAACAGCAGGCAUCCAACUGUGUGAGUUUAAUUGAAGUAAAGAACACAUACCCGGCUGAACUAUUUUUCUGCAUAUUUGGUUGACCGCAGUUGUUGCACUCAAUACGAGGAGUGAAAUGUUUGUUGAAGGUAGCUGUAUGAAGAUAGGGAACAGUCUGUCUGAAGGUGCAGUCAUUAAAAUUAGAUGCAACAAUACUGCAUCAGCAGAAAAUAUUUUAGAGCGUGUAUUUAAUUUCUGUGCAAAUAAACACUUGGUUUUAAGAGCAGGAAAAGGCAGUGUUUAAAAAACACUGAAAUGCAAAACCUAGUUCAGAGGAGUAAAGGCAGCAUUGCCACCUCAGUGUUCAAAAAUCAGCUGAUCCUAAAGAUAACCUAAGACUGACUUAGAAUUGUGAUGAUUUAACAUUUCCUCAUUUUAUUGCCUUUAGUAUUUAAGUGUUUUGGAGGCUAACCUCUUUGGGUUUUUUUUUCCCAGAUUCUUCCAACAAAAAUGGUAGAUAAUACUAUAGUGAUUUUUAAAUGGAAGUUGAGGUCGUUAAGUGGAUCCAGAAGUAUAGAGGGGUUUUUGUUGCUAUUGUUUGCUCCUGCCCCCAUCAGUUAUUUUUGAUACAGUGACAAGUAAAUGAGAUUUGGCAAAAUCUAUUAUACGUCCGAUUACAAGCAUGCAUUUUACAUUUUCAUGUGGCUUUGCUCUGUGGAGUUUCAAAGUAACAGUGGUUUCAUACAGGUCAUUUGAGUGUAUCAGAUCUCAGAAGCAUGCACAGAUCCAUGACUGCCUGACCUGUGGGGCCAGCCUGAGUCUGCAGAAGUGCCCCUUCCUGCUGAGUUCAACUCUGAUGACAGCACUCCAAAUGUCUGCAUGCUUCAGUUUCUACUGAAUCCACCACAGCUUAUUGCUCAGACUGUUGGACCCAGAGUAGCUCAGGUUGAGCAAUAUCAGCACAUCCAUGUUGUGUCCUUUGGUUGUGAGGGAUCCAUCAGACACAGUGAUUAGUGCAUAGAUUUCUCUAAUUUGCCUCUGUCCCCAGCAUCAUGGGUGAACUAUCUCUGAAGUUCAGCACUGUGUGCUUUGACACUUACUCCUCUCUUUUCCUGCUGUGAUACCUUGGGAGCAGAGUUGUUCAGGAGUGUUUGUGCAGGACUGGUCCUGGCUCUGGCUGGGUAGAAUUCCUACUCCUGUAUGAAUGUGCUAUAACAUUCAGUACAGUUAUCAGGCUUAUUACUAUUAUGAUUUCUUUGUUGUUUUUUUUUUAACCCAACAAUGUGUGAAGUUAUUUAAAUAUCACAUAGAAUUAGCCGUCUUACCUUAAUGUUUGGAAACUGAGGUGGAUGAAAGGUGUGUUUAAUGAUGCAGAGGGAAUCACUGACAAAUGAUGAUGGAAGACUCUUGGUAUGCAGUGUUGUUUUGGACUGGUGUUCUCUCUUUAAUGCCAACACACAUGAACCUUUUAACAUGGACCUAACCAUUCUGUCCUUAAUAUGUGCUGUCCUUCAAAACUUCAGUGUCAUUAAAUACUUGAGUCUUGAUGGUCAGACUCUGAGAUAGUUACAUGGAGAGGGCACUGUGUAAAUAAUGUCAUAAUUAGGAUUUUUUUUUUCUCUGUGUUUAACUGUAAUUAAAAGAUUAAAGAUGUUUCAGGAGAAGACAACAUUUAAAAUGUGCUUCAAAGCAUCAGGCAUUUAGAGCUCUAUUCUAGAGAUUGGACAUUAUGAUACUCACGUUUGUAAUUAAUUCAUUACUUACUAUUAUUUCAUUAAUUAUUAUUUUCAGUAGUGGUUUGGUCUGGGUUGAUUGGAAUUGCUUGAUCUUUCCAGAAAGACUUUGGACACCUUCAAGUGUGAUGGAGAUGAAUAAAUCUUUGUAAAACUUACAGAAUUUUAUCACCUUGAAAGUUGCUUCUGCUGUUUCCAUGAAUGAGACAGUCACAUAUAAAUACAGGAAAAGAAACAGGACCUCCCAGUUGGGAAACCCUACAAAUGUGAUAAUUUAAAAUAUUCCUACAUGGCAAAUGCUGUUGCUGAACUUUACUGGCAAAAAAGAAAUGCGGAAUUGAAUUUGUUCCUGUGUCAGGUCUCUUUGAGCUGCUCUGCAGUGAACCAAACCUUUGCUUUUAUCCACUGGUUGUCUGUCUUACAGUAUCAGUAUCAAGCACAGACUGCAUUCACAUUGUGUGGUAACAGUUGGUCCAGCUGGCAAUGCUUUGUUAAUGCUGAUAUUUAAGUUACUAGUAUUUCUAUAUAAAAUGAUUGGUGGAAAAAUUCAGUUCCUGCUACCUUCCUAUAAAAUCCUGCCCACUAUUAUGUACCCAUCCAGGAAACUCGUGUACACUGAAGUUUGAUGUACAAAUCUAUCAGCACAAUUCUGAUGUAUUUGUGUUUGAUCUUCCUUAAUAGAGCUGUAACUCUCAAUCUAAAUUCAAUUAUAUACAGUCUCUCUCCAAAGUUUCUCUUGCUAAAUUCUUUUAGCUUCACAGAUGAUACCAUGCAUUGUUCUCUAUUUAAACAUGAAAAGAUCAUGUUGUCAUUUCUAGAUUUGACUUGUCAAUGUAGCAACAUGUUUUUGAAAGAGGACUAUUCCUUCCUCCCUGCACUUUGUUGUGUUUUUCAGAAUGUCAGUUGUUGAUGCAUUCUAUAACAGCCAGGAAGAUCUGAAGUCAACCAGCUUAGUCAGGAAAAAGAGUAUCUUCAUGGCAGAUUGGAGAAGAUGCAGAAACGGAAUGAUGAAUUGGACC